rnacentral:rRNA from 1 species
GGCUCAGGACGAACGCUGGCGGCGUGCCUAAUACAUGCAAGUCGAACGCUUCUUUCCUCCCGAGUGCUUGCACUCAAUUGGAAAGAGGAGUGGCGGACGGGUGAGUAACACGUGGGUAACCUACCCAUCAGAGGGGGAUAACACUUGGAAACAGGUGCUAAUACCGCAUAACAGUUUAUGCCGCAUGGCAUAAGAGUGAAAGGCGCUUUCGGGUGUCGCUGAUGGAUGGACCCGCGGUGCAUUAGCUAGUUGGUGAGGUAACGGCUCACCAAGGCCACGAUGCAUAGCCGACCUGAGAGGGUGAUCGGCCACACUGGGACUGAGACACGGCCCAGACUCCUACGGGAGGCAGCAGUAGGGAAUCUUCGGCAAUGGACGAAAGUCUGACCGAGCAACGCCGCGUGAGUGAAGAAGGUUUUCGGAUCGUAAAACUCUGUUGUUAGAGAAGAACAAGGACGUUAGUAACUGAACGUCCCCUGACGGUAUCUAACCAGAAAGCCACGGCUAACUACGUGCCAGCAGCCGCGGUAAUACGUAGGUGGCAAGCGUUGUCCGGAUUUAUUGGGCGUAAAGCGAGCGCAGGCGGUUUCUUAAGUCUGAUGUGAAAGCCCCCGGCUCAACCGGGGAGGGUCAUUGGAAACUGGGAGACUUGAGUGCAGAAGAGGAGAGUGGAAUUCCAUGUGUAGCGGUGAAAUGCGUAGAUAUAUGGAGGAACACCAGUGGCGAAGGCGGCUCUCUGGUCUGUAACUGACGCUGAGGCUCGAAAGCGUGGGGAGCAAACAGGAUUAGAUACCCUGGUAGUCCACGCCGUAAACGAUGAGUGCUAAGUGUUGGAGGGUUUCCGCCCUUCAGUGCUGCAGCAAACGCAUUAAGCACUCCGCCUGGGGAGUACGACCGCAAGGUUGAAACUCAAAGGAAUUGACGGGGGCCCGCACAAGCGGUGGAGCGUGUGGUUUAAUUCGAAGCAACGCGAAGAACCUUACCAGGUCUUGACAUCCUUUGACCACUCUAGAGAUAGAGCUUUCCCUUCGGGGACAAAGUGACAGGUGGUGCAUGGUUGUCGUCAGCUCGUGUCGUGAGAUGUUGGGUUAAGUCCCGCAACGAGCGCAACCCUUAUUGUUAGUUGCCAUCAUUUAGUUGGGCACUCUAGCGAGACUGCCGGUGACAAACCGGAGGAAGGUGGGGAUGACGUCAAAUCAUCAUGCCCCUUAUGACCUGGGCUACACACGUGCUACAAUGGGAAGUACAACGAGUCGCUAGACCGCGAGGUCAUGCAAAUCUCUUAAAGCUUCUCUCAGUUCGGAUUGCAGGCUGCAACUCGCCUGCAUGAAGCCGGAAUCGCUAGUAAUCGCGGAUCAGCACGCCGCGGUGAAUACGUUCCCGGGCCUUGUACACACCGCCCGUCACACCACGAGAGUUUGUAACACCCGAAGUCGGUGAGGUAACCUUUUUGGAGCCAGCCGCCUAAGGUGGGAUAGAUG